rnacentral:snoRNA from 1 species
GGUCUGAUGACACAUUUAUGAUAGCUUGAAUUAAGCGGUGACCAGUGAUGCUAUGAUUGGACCAAAAUCAAAAGUGAAUUUCAUUUGUUUCGCAUUUUGAUAGGAAUCUAUGAAUUUCAUACUUUAUGAUCUGUGGAGCCGUUUUGUGCGAUUACAUUU